rnacentral:rRNA from 1 species
UGAAUACGAGAUGCUACGGCGUCGAAGCAGUCUAUGUCAUACUUCCAAGAAAAGCUUGCACUGUCAUAAACAAAUAAUGCCUGUACCAUAACCGACACAGGUGGGUAGGUAGAGUAUACUAAGGGGCGCGAGAUAACUCUCUCUAAGGAACUCGGCAAAAUGACUCCGUAACUUCGGGAGAAGGAGUGCCUUAUUUAUAAGGUUGCAAUAACAAGAUCCAAGCAACUGUUUACCAAAAACACAGGUCUCCGCUAAGUCGUAAGACGAUGUAUGGGGGCUGACGCCUGCCCAGUGCCAGAAGGUUAAAGAAGUUGGUUAGCAUCCGCGAAGCUGAUAACUGAAGCCCUGGUGAACGGCGGCCGUAACAAUGACGGUCCUAAGGUAGCGAAAUUCCUUGUCGGGUAAGUUCCGACCCGCACGAAAGGCGUAAUGAUUUGGAUACUGUCUCGGAGAGGGGCUCGGUGAAAUAGACUUGUCUGUGAAGAUGCGGACUACCUGCACCAGGACAGAAAGACCCUAUGAAGCUUUACUGUAACCUGAAAUUGAAAUUGGACUUUACUUGCGCAGUAUAGGUGGGAGGCGUUGAGAAUAUUCUUGCGGGAUUAUUGGAGCCAUCAGUGAGAUACCACUCUUGUAAUGUUAGAUUUCUAACUUUGUAUCAUUAUCUGGUCAAAGAACAGUUUCAGGCGGGCAGUUUGACUGGGGCGGUCGCCUCCUAAACGGUAACGGAGGCGCACAAAGGUUUCCUCUGAACGGGUAGAAAUCGUAUCUAGAGUGUAAAGGCAUAAGGAAGCUUGACUGUGAGACCUACAAGUCGAGCAGGGACGAAAGUCGGUCUUAGUGAUCUGACGGUGCUGAGUGGAAAGGCCGUCACUCAACGGAUAAAAGUUACUCUAAGGAUAACAGGCUGAUCUCCCCCAAGAGUUCACAUCGACGGGGAGGUUUGGCACCUCGAUGUCGGCUCAUCGCAUCCUGGGGCGGUAGUACGUCCCAAGGGUUGGGCUGUUCGCCCAUGAAAGCGGUACGCGAGCUGGGUUCAGAACGUCGUGAGACAGUUCGGUCCAUAUCCGGUGUAGGCGUUAGAAUAUUGAGAGGAGCCUUCUUUAGUACGAGAGGACCGAGAAGGACAUACCUCUGGUGUACCAGUUAUCGUGCCAACGGUAAACGCUGGGUAGCUAUGUGUGGAGUGGAUAACCGCUGAAAGCAUCUAAGUGGGAAGCCCACCUCAAGAUAAGUAUUCU